GAUGAACGCUAGCUACAGGCUUAACACAUGCAAGUCGAGGGGAAACGAUGUUGGAAGCUUGCUUCCGAUAGGCGUCGACCGGCGCACGGGUGAGUAACGCGUAUCCAACCUGCCCAUCACUUGGGGAUAACCUUGCGAAAGUAAGACUAAUACCCAAUGAUAUCUCAAGAAGACAUCUGAAUGAGAUCAAAGAUUUAUCGGUGAUGGAUGGGGAUGCGUCUGAUUAGCUUGUUGGCGGGGUAACGGCCCACCAAGGCGACGAUCAGUAGGGGUUCCGAGAGGAAGGUCCCCCACAUUGGAACUGAGACACGGUCCAAACUCCUACGGGAGGCAGCAGUGAGGAAUAUUGGUCAAUGGGCGAGAGCCUGAACCAGCCAAGUAGCGUGCAGGAUGACGGCCCUAUGGGUUGUAAACUGCUUUUAUAAGGGAAUAAAGUGAGUCUCGUGAGGCUUUUUGCAUGUACCUUAUGAAUAAGGACCGGCUAAUUCCGUGCCAGCCGCCGCCGUAA
rnacentral:rRNA from 1 species